GACGAACGCUGGCGGCGUGCUUAACACAUGCAAGUCGGACGGAAAGGCCCUGCUUUUGUGGGGUGCUCGAGUGGCGAACGGGUGAGUAACACGUGAGUAACCUGCCCUUGACUUUGGGAUAACUUCAGGAAACUGGGGCUAAUACCGGAUAGGAUCUCCUGCUGCAUGGUGGGGGUUGGAAAGUUUCGGCGGUUGGGGAUGGACUCGCGGCUUAUCAGCUUGUUGGUGGGGUAGUGGCUUACCAAGGCUUUGACGGGUAGCCGGCAUGAGAGAGUGAACGGCCACAAGGGGACUGCGAGACGGACCAGAAUGCUACGGGAGGCAGCAGUGGGGAAUAUUGCGCAGUGGGGGGAAGCGUGAUGCGGAAACGCCCCGUGCGGAAUGCCGGCCUUCGGGUUGUAAACAGAUUUCGCCUGUGCCGAAGAGUGAGUGACGGUAAUGGGUAAAGAAGCACCGGCUAACUACGUG
rnacentral:rRNA from 1 species